GCUCCUCCAUCGCCCCUAUUAUCAUGCGCCCUAAAUCGUCGAUAACUCCCACGAGCCAACCCUUAACCUGUGUGGGCAAUGCCUUUAAGUUUAUCUGGCCUUUAUAGUUUUCAGCAUCGACAAUGACCAAGCCAUCGGAACUUUUUUCUUUACAAGUAGUAAACCCAGAUGUGGUUUAACCUUAAAUCAUUAACGGAAAAACAUGAGCUUGCUUUUAUAACGGUUGAAUUGGAUUACAGCAAGGUCAUCCUCCUCAAGAUGGGGCUUGCCAAUAAGCUUUAGAGAACUGGGUUCCUGCCAUACCGUCGGGAAGAAGAAGACACCCAACUGAUCUUUCACGAAAGUGUAUCGGAUUUUCUAUUGGUGCUAGUUAUUUGGUUUGUGGUUGACAAUUUACACGCCAACACUUGGGUUGGUGGACGCAAUGGAGCCUCU
rnacentral:lncRNA from 1 species